GUGGUUUUCAAUGGUUUCUGUAGAACUACCGCGAAGAUGUACCCAUUUGUAUUGAGCAGGUGGAUUGGCCUCGAACUCGGGACACUCGAAGAGCUCCACCGAGGAACUUAGCAGAGCCGUCUCUUCCAUGUCCAUGGAGGAGAAGAAUCAAGCAUAACAACUUUCGCAGGAAUAUAAUAGCAUAAUAUGAAUGUCUAUAUACGCGAAGAUUAUCAUAGCUGUUUGAUUCUACGAAGAAAGCGAUACCUAGAUUUAAAAAGGAGGAAGACCAGCAUCGUGCCUUUUGACCGGCUCGAAGCGCAGCUCGGCGCCCCACAUGCUGUCAUUCAGCUGCGCCGUUGUGCUUUGUAUCAACGACG